rnacentral:rRNA from 1 species
UACGAAGGGGGCUAGCGUUGCUCGGAAUCACUGGGCGUAAAGCGCACGUAGGCGGGUUGCUAAGUCAGGGGUGAAAUCCUGGAGCUCAACUCCAGAACUGCCUUUGAUACUGGCGGCCUUGAGUCCGGGAGAGGUGAGUGGAACUGCGAGUGUAGAGGUGAGAUUCGUAGAUAUUCGCAAGAACACCAGUGGCGAAGGCGGCUCACUGGCCCGGUACUGACGCUGAGGAGCGAAAGCAUGGGGAGCGAACAGG